UGUCGAACUUUAGUUCAAACCAAAACUCUUUGUCUAUCUCUGGAUAACUUUAUUACUAAUAUUUGUAAUCUUCUUGGGAAUGCAAUAAAAGAACAUCGGGAAAAAGUACAACAAGAAAAAUUGACAGUUAAUGUCCCACGAGUAGAGUAUCCGCGACAAAUGGCUAGAAGAGGUCGUAGAAGAAGAUUAAGAUAAUUUACCUUAUUGUUAAAAAUAAAAUAUUUUCUAUACAUUAUCUCACCUAUUGUAUUUUAAAUUUUAAUUAAAAGAUAUUUGAUACCAAGCAAAA